UUCCCAAAACGUACACAAGUAAGGACCCCAAUUUUUUUAAGUCAUAUAGACCCCUCCCUUGCUCCCCGCCGCACAGGCUGCCCAUUUUCCCAGGUGCCCAGCCCUCUGCCUCGCUGAGUCGCCGUCACUGCCUCACCGACCCUGUCCACCUUCGAGACCAACUCUGAGGCUCACCUCACCGCACACUACGACGCCCACUCUACGGCUCGUCGGCUCACAUACAGUCCACCGUCACCGCGCUCAGCUCUGCGACGCCUACUCUACGGCUCGCCUUUAAACCCUUGGUUCUUCUUUCUUCUUCCUCCUUUGUUAUAUUCUACUCCAAUGCUUAGAAAUGGGGAAACCGGAGACUGAUUUGGAACUUUUGAGGGUCACAAAGGUGAUGUUUGGAGUUGUUGUUUAGACACAAAAGCUCUAUAUACAACAACUGCUUCUGCGGAUUUCACGGUGACUUAUCGGACUUGGCAAGCCAACAACAAAGAAUCUCGAAAGCCUCUAACAUGGAAAGAAAUUACAUGUUCCCACGAACCGGAAAUGCUUGAAUGUGGCUAUUCUGUCUUGAAGUACAUGUAUCAAAUAGUUUUACUUUGAUCACAAAGUAUUGGUAAUAUGGAAGAGAUAUUUUCUCCAAACCCGUACACUCAAGAGGAGAUCUAUGAUUUUCGAGAAAAAUGGAGCAGAUAUUUUAUUAGUAGUUGUUUGUAGUCACUUUCUAGUUUUCAGAGAUAGAAAUUAAACUAUAACAAAUUGUAUGUUAAUUUUUUGGAACACAUUAUUUAUACUUGUUGAACCAACUUUCUUGUUUGAAUUAAUAAAUUUUUUUUUCGUA